UCAUUAUGAAGCUAAAUUAGCGCUAGCCUUUUAAGCUAGAGUAUGAGAGCUAAACAGUACUCUCCAUGAUGAA
rnacentral:tRNA from 1 species